AGGAAACCAGCAGUGUAAGGUUGGGGACGGGGAGGGUGAGUGGAAGCAAUCAACCUGAAUCUGCCCACAAUCCGCAGUUGAUGUGGCGAGGUUGGCCUGAACACGGGGGUCCCGCGGGUAUCGUGCCGAUCCGCACAUUACUGUACUCAGAGAGUGUGAGGCACCGCUACUCCAUUUCGGUUUUCCCCUCCUUCGUUUCGCUUGUUUGAACAGACUUCAGACAUGACUCGGCACGCUCCCGGACUGCACAUUAAGUAAUAAAGGCUCCCAAUGAAAAUGCAAAACGUGAAGAGCGUCGAUUGAUUUCUGACACUGCCGCUGAGAACCCAGAAAAAGACCACAGAUUCCUAUUGUGAAAGAGAGAAUGCUAAUUACAAACAUGAAAGCUUGGUUUGCAAACGAGAGAGAACAGUGAGGCAGAGCAGAAGGCGAUGGGGAUGAGAUACUGUCACUUUUUCGGGGGACUCUGGGAGUCAGGACUUAUAAAGCUGACAGCAAAAAUGCUCCAGUUUCAGCGUCUGUAUCAUGAAGAAUUCAGGUAAUGAUGACACGAGUCUGCAGCAUGAAAAGGGAACAUUAGAAGAAUGUCAGAACGGCAAGUUCAGUCUCUCUGCCUCUCUGCAUGGCUAUACGUACUUAUUUAUGGAACCAGGAAUUUAUUAUAAAGACAGACGCAGAAGAAUAUUUUAUACUGGAGAAGAGAUGCAGCACUGAACAUAAUAGUGCCUUUUAUUAAACCCCAACCAAUCUAGCAGCAGCAUCAUUUCCAAUUAACAUGCAAGUAGUCAAACAGAACAGAAUAUAGUGUUUCCCAUAGAUGCCCCUGAGACAGGUCUGGGUAGUGACCUCCUCCCCUCUGGUGAAUAUGUUACAGUACUGAACCCAGCAGGGUGCUGCAAUAACACCUUAACAUAAAGGGGAUGUUCACAACUUUUUGCAACUGAUCUUCAUUUUUGACAACAAAGCUUUUUCAAGAUUCUCUAAUCCUGGGGUUUUAAGACCCCCCCUCCCAUCAGGGUUUUCUGACCCCCUUACUGUGUUAAGCAUGUUUAAGCAUGAAUCACUACUGGCCCUGGUUCCAUAUCAUUGGCUGAAUCAUCCCAGGUAAAUGGGACUGGGAAAUGGACAGGGAAAUAGAUGGAGCAGAGCUGGGCCAGGGGAGAAUGGCAACAGGGAGGUUCAAUGAAGGAUGGAUUUCUAGAGCAUUACAAAUUUACUGGCUAGCACAUUGCCAAUUCAUUUGUAAUACUGGUGCUGGCCCUUGCUAGUAAUUUACUGGCUAGGAAAGUAGAAUUCCAAUCAGGUGGCAACCCUACUUGCAGGCUAAGGAGCACCAAAGUCUUGCACUUGCAUUCAGGGUAAUAAUAAGUGGCCCCUCUAACCUUGACAUUGGCUAAUUUAUCACAGAGUAGCCCCCUUCUGCUUUAAUGUUUACUAGUCCACAUAUCCCCAAGGUCUGGAUACCCUUCUCCCUGACUGGGAUUCAAAAGAAAGAACUAGACACCCUGCAUGUCACAGGGAGGCUACCCUAAGCUCACCCACAAUCUUUUAAUUCCAGAGAGACACAAAUUUACCUUAUACCUACAUGAUCUAUAUUUUUACUAAUUAUUAAAAAUCCAAAAUUGCAA